CAGUGGUGGGUGUAUCACGGUGCGGUCAGUGGUGGGGGUAUCACGGUGCGGUCAGUGGUGGGCGUAUCACGGUGCGGUCAGUGGUGGGCGUAUCACGGUGCGGUCAGUGGUGGGGGUAUCACGGUGCGGUCAGUGGUGGGGGUAUCACGGUGCGGUCCGUACUGGGUGUAUCAUGGUAAAAGAGCAUGGGAUAUUAAUAAUGGGCUAAUUUGGGUAAAAGAGCAUGGGAUGGUAAUAAUGGGCCGAGAGCAUGGGAUACAUGGUGUUUAUACAAAUAAUGUAAAUAGCAUAACCAUUAUAGUGUACUGUAGUGGAUAUGGUGCAGGGAGUGCCCUUGCACCCUCCUAGAGUAAGUAGUCUAACAAGGUUAUUCACUGAAGUGAGAAUUCAAAGUGAAUUUAAAACUUAAAGGGACACAAUCACCGUAACAACUACAGCUCAUUGUAGUUGGUCGGAUGGGUAUAGUCAGUCCCUGCAUGGUUUUUGCUGUAAACACUGCUUUUUCAGAGAAUAGGACGUGUUUACAUUACAGCCUAGGAACACCUCUAGUGGCCACUCAGAUAGCCACUAAAGGUACUUCUGGGGCAGUCCUGCUCAGUGCAGCACUGACAUUCAGCGUCUCCACGCCCCCCAUGGAGAUUCUGAACUUUUGCCAUAGAGAUGAAUUGAUUAAAUGCAUCUCUAUCAGGAGAUGCUGAUUCGCCAUGGUGAUGUUUGGCUCCGCCUUGUCUACUUGGCUGAGAUCCUCAGAAUUGAUGAUCUUAGCCAAUCAAAUGGUUUCCCAUGGGAAAGUAUUGUGAUUGGCUGAGAUAAUCAAUUCUGAUUAUGUCAGCCAAGGAGGCAGGUCAGGGGUGGACACAAGUGGCACUGAAAUUAAGUUAAAUUAAAUAGUGUUUUUAACACCAUAGGGUAGGUAAUAUACAUUUGUAUUCAAGACCCUAUAGAGUUUCCUUACGGUCAAAAUUGCUGGACUGGAAAUAUUCUCUAAGUCAGCUGUGCAUUUAACUUUGGCUACUUUGGCCUUAAAUGUAUUUUUAAUUCUGACUUUAGUAAAAACAACAACAGAUAUAGGAUGCAGAAAAGGAGAUUUCAUGGCAAGACAAACCUCUCCAUGGAGUGUACCACCAUCAUAUAGUGGAACUAGCUCACAUUACAAAAUCCUACCAGUAGUUGGAAAAGGCAGGACUGAAAGACAGCACUAAGGCACUAAUCCUAGCAGCACAGGAGCCGGCACUUAGAACCAGAUCAAUAGAAGUGGGUGUCUACCACACCAGGCAAAAUUAAAAGCGCAAACUGUCCAAAAAGCCCCUUGAGACAAUCCAGCAUAUAGUCUUGUAGAAUUUCCAGAGGACCUUGCGCACACACAUUCUCAGGGAGCAUUCCCACUAGGGUGCUCCAAAACAGGGACAGCCCCAGCCCAGACAAAUCAUGUGAAACAAAAAAGUAGGUUUGGGCACACCCAGUAGUUUCUUCAACAGGUAGACUUUAUUGUGGAG